rnacentral:rRNA from 1 species
GUCCACGCCGUAAACGAUGGCCACUCGGCCUUUGGCGGCGGAAUCUCCGUCGGUGGGGGCCUUAGCUAACGCGGGAAGUGGCCCGCCUGGGAACUACGAGCGCAAGCUUAAAACUCAAAGGAAUUGACGGGGGCCCGCACAAGCAUCGGAGCGUGUGGUUUAAUUCGACGCAACGCGCAGAACCUUACCCAGGUUUGACAUGGCCCUGCACGCCGGUGAAAGCCGGUCGCCUUCGAGGGUGGGCCACAGAUGCUGCAUGGCUGUCGU